CAUAUAGUUAGCUCGGUUAAUGGGGUAGGAUCCGAGACUCCUUUCGGGGUUACACAGGCUCUCCUACCCAACUCCUAUUCCGUCACGUCCUCGUCGUACAGAGUAGUAACUUUCCCCAACCAAAUAUCCAAGCUUGGGUACACGGGUCUGUCCCAGACGUUAAACCGAACUGCCACGAGGCCCUUCAGAGGUACCUGGGGGCUUGAACUGUGACUGGG
rnacentral:ribozyme from 1 species